GGCGAGAUGACCGAGCGGUCUAAGGCGCUGGUUUUAGGCACCAGUCUUUUCGGAGGUGUGGGUUCGAAUCCCACUCUCGUCG
rfam:Dictyocaulus viviparus strain HannoverDv2000 D_viviparus-1.0_Cont45.53, whole genome shotgun sequence.